rnacentral:rRNA from 1 species
CAUCCUGGGGCUGAAGCAGGUCCCAAGGGUAUGGCUGUUCGCCAUUUAAAGAGGUACGCGAGCUGGGUUUAGAACGUCGUGAGACAGUUCGGUCCCUAUCUACCGUGGGCGUUGGAAAUUUGAGAGGAUCUGCUCCUAGUACGAGAGGACCAGAGUGGACGAACCUCUGGUGUUUCGGUUGUGACGCCAGUCGCAUUGCCGAGUAGCUAUGUUCGGAUGGGAUAACCGCUGAAAGCAUCUAAGCGGGAAGCCCACCUUAAGAUUAGAUUUCCCUAAAGAGCCGUUGUAGACUACGACGUUGAUAGGUUGGGUGUGGAAGCACAGCGAUGUGUGUAGCUAACCAAUACUAAUUGCUC